rnacentral:lncRNA from 1 species
AGAGACAGCAGACAGAAGCAGGGACGACAGACACAGUCCGGAGGGCUGUAAGCUAGGGGUGGUGGGAUCAGGUUUCUGAAACUUCCUCCACUGCCGUGUGGAUGCAAGGCAGAAGCUGGCCCAGGAGGGUCACUUAGAAGGCCACCUCUUAAAACAGAGAUGAGCAAAGACAACGGCUGACCUGGGGCAGGGGAAUUAGGGGUGGGGGAAGGGGAGAGGAGAUGCUGCCUGGG